CCCGGACGGCUCCCGGCUCCCGGAGCAGCGCCCGCCCCCCCCGGCACCUCUCCCGUCAGGGAGGGAGCGGAGGGGCGGGGGCGGCAGGCGCGCACACGGCCGCGGGCAUGGGGGCGCGCGCGCAGGCGGGCGGUCUCUCACACACGCGCGCGCGCGUCCGCACGCCCCACGGCUGACAAAAGCCCGGCGGGGUCCGCGGUUCGGAGGGGGCUUGUCCAGCGGCGAGGCUGGGCCGGUGGCGGCGGCGCCCCCCCGAGGUGCCCGCUCGCGGUGCAGGCUGAGGGGAAGCGGGGGGGGGGGCGGCCGCAUUCCAGCGGGACUACUUCCCGCCCCUCACCCCCUCCGCCUCCCGCGAUGCGCACCGCGGAGCAGCACCGGACCGGGAGGGACGGGACUACUUUCUGCCACUGAGGGGAGGCGACGGCGGUACCACAAAGGCGGUGGCAGCUCCUCCGCCAGGUUUUGCAGGAGCUGGCAGAAGGUGCACACCGUUACAUUUAUUUUCACUGUUUAAUUGGAGUCCGAGAAGAAAAAGAGUGUCGACUUUGAUAAAGACUCUUCCAGUACAGCUGGCAACUAAAUGUAGAUUCAGAAGGACCUCUUCAUGAGCAAAAAAACCCUCAACAUUAUGCAGCCCUGGGUCCUUGACAUAUGGAUCAUUCAGUAAUUAUUUUGCUACAUAGAUACCAUUUCAAAAGAAAGUUUAGAACACCAAAAUUCAAGUCUAAAAUACUCUUCAGUUUUAAACAGGAAGAUCUGAAAACUAAAGCAAAACACAGCCUAGCAAAUACAAAGGCAAAUUCGCAUUUUCUUUCCCUGUGCAAAACUUCCACUCUUGAACAAUGUUGGAUAGACAAUGGAACGGCUGUGCAGAAAAAGAAGGUAGAGGAUAGAUAUUGAGUUGUCACAACUGAUGGUAAUAGGAGAAAAUGAAUAUAAAUUGAGCUGAGUUAAAUAUUGAAACAAGAUUUGUUAAAUUUUAGGUGAAAAGCCAAAUGAGAAAUAUGCAAAGUCUUUUCUGGAGAGACCUACCUUGUUUUACCAGGUCCAUUACGAGACCUGCAACCAAGAUUGCUCUAAUUAGGACUUUAUCAGGAUUCAAUUGGGUGAAAAGUAACCAAAGGAAAAAAAAUAAUUGGUGUCAGUUACAAAGUAAUAAACUUUACCCCAAAACCACGACUCAUCUUUUCAAUUCACCUUUCAAGCCUACUUUUCUUCUACAGUCUCAGCUGGAACAGAGGUGUCAGCUGGCAGCAGAGCAGGUACAAGAACCUGUGCGUCACUGUUGUGGUCUAACCCCAGCCAGCAACUAAGCACCACACAGCUGCUGGCCCACUCCCCCCUGGUGGGAGGGGGGAGAGACCUGGAAGAGUAAAAGUGAGAAAACUCAUGAGUUGAGAUAAGAACAGUAUAAUAAUUGAAAUAAAGUAAAGUAAAAUAGUGGUAGUAGUAGUAAUAACGCAAGUGAUGCACGAUACAAUUGCACACCAUCCGCUGACUGAUGCCCAGCCCAUCCACCAGCAGCAAUCGCUGCCCCCCAGCCAACUCCUCCCAGAGCUGAGCAUGACAUUGUACAGUGUGGAAUAUCCCUUUGGCCAGUUUGGGUCAGCUGUCCCGGCUGUGUCCCCGCCCAACUUCUUGUGCACCUGGCAGAGCAUGGGGAGCUGAAAAGUCCUUGACUUACACUAAUAAGCACUACUUAGCAACAACUGAAACAUCAGUGUGUUAUCAACAUUAUUCUCAUACUAAAUCCAAAGCACAGCACUAUGCCAGCUACUAGGAGGAAAACUGAUUUUAUCCCAGCUGAAACCAGGACACACUUGCCAGCUGAUGCACGGUGACAUACUGUUGUGCAAGGUCAUGGACCCCAGCUGCUGCAUCUGCCCACUUUAACUCCAUCUGGAUUGCUGCCCAGGAUUAUCUUCUUCUACGUUCCAAACGCCCGAUGUUUUACAAAGUCAGGUGAUGGCUCCAGACACAAGGAAGUAAGGUGCGCUGUAACUGCUUGUAUCAUUUAUGCACUUUAUUGGUUGCUCUUUUUGCUAUUGCUGGUGUUUGCAGAGUAAGUUCCUGGAAAUCCCUUGCGUUACCAAUUGAUGCGGUAGCCGUUGGAGAUGUCUGCUGUCACCAGUGAUACCUAUUUUUGGCAACUGCAAAAACAUCAUGGCACUUGAACUACCCUCAGACUCACCCUUGAGAUGGAGCCUCUAACAUAUUUCUGGGAAAGCUUACACUCACUCCUAGAUGUAGCACGUGGAUAGACUUCAGCGUUCAGGCCUGUCACUUUUCAAACUCUACCAUCCUUUUGAACAUUCACUUGAGCGUGGUACGCCCUUGCUUUAUGUAUCUGUCGGUGUAGGAAAGCCACAUGUGUAUCUUGUUUAGUAGUGAACAGCAUAGCCAAGUUGUUCUCACUUGUUUAAAACUAUACCUCACAAACAAAUUAUUUUUUACCCUUUUUAAAAUUGAGUGCUCCGUAUAGUGCAAAAUAUAACAUGUCAAAUCUGGAGUCUUUCCAGAACUUGUGCCUAAGUCAUCACAUGGUGGAAAAACAUUUGAACUCCUUAUUUUGUGCCCUGAAACAAAACAAGGACAGCAUUGUCAUAAUGAAAUAAUCAGAAGCAGCUGGUAAAAUGGUCUUUGGAUUCUUUCAGAAAUUUUACCUCUGGGCUGAGAAGUCCUGCCAUCCUACAAGGGAAUUGUUUUGGAAAGUUAUGAGCCACUAAGUGGGACAACUUGACUUACAGCCAUAAACUCUGUGCUGGAGGACCUCCCACUGACACCAAUGGGAGUUGCACUCACAAAGACAGAGCAGCACACGGCCACUGAAGUAAAGGGAUCAUCUCAUUCAUAACUUGGAGAAUCUAAACGUACUUGGAUACUUACUUGGAGGAUCCAAAUAACUUACUUGGAGGAUCCAAAUUCUUGCACAGAAGGAUUUCAGUACUGUCAGUGGAACUUGGAUUUAGGGGUAGGGAAAAAAGGCUCUUUCAUAAAAGCAAACACAGAAACUUACUCAGAAACUAAACAGCAGGCAAGUCUAUAGGAAAUCUGUGCCAUAGUGAGGGUUUUUCUACCAUCUUCCUAGUACCAGAACAAAUGUUUGAACUUUGUGCAAAUUAUCAAUCUAGGUGUUGUUGAGAAGAGUUACAAAAGUCACAGCCCACCAAUCAUGUCCUUCUUUCAGUGUAAGUGGGGCACAGAGAAAACCUGAUGCUGCUCCUGGUGGCUUUUGAACGUUCAGCCAGAACUCAGCUGCUUCUCUGACGUGGCAGGUACCGAAGAACCUUAUAAGCACUUAUACCGUAUAUAGCCAUCUUUACCAUCCUAGGAUUUUGAAGAAACACCUUUGUGGUCUUCAGAGUGACUGCUCAAAUCAGCAAAUGUUUCAAAACAUGCCUAGGGUUUAGCCAGUCUAAUCUAUAACAUCUUGAAGUUGUUCUGGAUGUUAACUGCUCGUUAAAUUUCUCUGAGAAAAUAGAGUGCACAAAUUUUCUGAUGACUAUUGCUGGGUGUUGUCAGUAUGAUGUAAUUUUCAAUUUUCUAUUAAAAACAAAGAAAACUAAAAAGAAGAGGGAUCAGAACACCUUGGACAUGGCAUAUCUAAACUCUUGCCACUGAAGAGAAUGACAUUUUAUAGGUUGGAAGGAGAGGAGUAACAGAACAGAAAUUAAAGCACAACCCUCAAGUUUGUUUUUUUUUUCAUGAAGUGAGCCAAUAUACAGGAAACAGUGAUCCAGUGUAGCUGUAAUGAAACUUCAAAAUACAUUUAUUCAUUGUUUAUAGUAUCUACAAAACACAAAGAGGACAAAGAGCAGCAGCUUUAUGCUUUGCACUUUAGUAUCCUCAAGAAGCGUAGAGAUCUAGAAGCAAAAAUCAAAUUCAGACUGUGAGAUUAAGAGUAAGUGUGGGCUUCCUGAAGAUAAAUUUUCAAUAUAUCCUAAUCCUUCAGGGGACCUACACAUCAAGAGGCUGGUAAAGCAUCUGGGAAUAGCAUGUACACUCCUGAAGGGAUGUGCAAGACUUUUACAUGAUGAGGGGAUGCAGCUAUUCUGUAACAAUCAAAGAAUAGGGAUGUAGAGAAACAUAUUACCUAUGUAAGAGAAUGAGUAAUGCACAGGAAGGGCCGAGCAGUCCAGGCCAGUUUCAGUAGUGUGACAGAGCACAAAGUAUAGCUCCCCUAUAUGAAGGGUUGCUGGGUGGAAGCUGUUGACUGUAAUAACGGCACUUUAAACUCAAUGUUUGUAUCAGAAUGGAGUGUGGGAUGGUGGGACCAAAGCAGUAUCUAAUGGUGUAAUCAGAUUCAAAUCCACUAAAAUGGUUUUGCAGGAGGAAGUAAAAAAAGAUUCAGUUUUGAAACUGUCUUCUCAUGUAAUUGGUUUUUUGGGUUUUUGUUUCUGUCGGUUAGUAAUUUACCUGGAAGAAUCCCGAGUACAAGCAUUUCCUACUUGUAAGGAAUUACAAUAGGCUGAAGCACUAUUUGAAGAGAACAUGCCAUACUGAGUUUGCAGUCCUUUGGGGUAGGGACUACGCACCCUUCUCAUCCAUCCAGAUAUAUCUGCACUUUAUUUUUUUAUGAUUGUUUGCAGUGGUUAUAAAAUUUGGGCUUUCUAUUUGCCUUACUGUACAAUAUCACAAAACAGUUUUUUUUCAUGACAGUCUGUACUUACACACCUUGCGUUUGCUCAGCACUCUAAAGCAACAACAUGAAAACAAGCAGCUGCAGCAUUUAUUACACUCUCCAGGUGAUUAAAGUCAAUCAGCUUUUGGCCUUGAGCCAUAACAUAACUGGUUACCUUCAGAAAGAGCCACCCCAAGCGCACAGGUUGUCAUCAUAUUGUGAUGGCUGAUGAUCCCAUGACAUGAGUGUGGUGCACAGUUAAGACCGUAGGAGAUGUCAUUGGAAAAAUAGAAGCGUGCACAGAAAAUUUAGAUAAACAGUGUUGAAAAGCAUAAAAAACUGGAUGGAUAUUUUACAGUUACUGUAUUUCACUCCUUUCCGUUUCAUGAUAUAAAAGCAUUAUCCAGACAAAUAAAUAAGCUCCGAAAAUGCGUAUAAUUAAGCAGCAUAGUUGAAAGAAUGAUGAUAGGAAAUCUCUCUCUCCUGCUCUGUUAACUGGCAAUGCCAAUACGUGGCUAAUGAUGCAAUCUGAUUUAACAUGAUUAAAAUAGAGAAGAUAAUUUGCUUAGCUUUGUUGUCUUCUACAGCUGUUCACUACACUAUAUGAUAGUCAGAAGUUUUAAAAGCGUGCAUAUAUAAUGCUUCACCCAGAACCUUCCAAUAAACAAAACAGCUUUCCUAUAAAACGUUUUUGUAAUGAAAUAGCCAUUUAUUGGAAAGUUAAAACCUGAGCUAAUUAAAACAUUUUUAAAUUGGCCCCUCAAACUUGGCAAUUCUAUAUAAUAAACCCUUGUUGCCCUCUAGUGUUCAAACACAGCUUGUAAAUG